CCCCGCCCUCUCCAUGCCUCAGCCUAUCCCUCCGUGCUCUGGCUUGCCUCCCAUUACUGUAAUAAAGGCUAGAUUUAUUUACGUAGCCAGGUGGCUGCUAGAACACACGCCCAACCCACUACUUCCAAAGUCGAUGACAAGAGAUAGGGCAGGCAGCAGCUGCGAAGGCUGGGCACCUACCAGUAAGAGCACUACACUGUUGUGGUGAAACGAGAUGGUAUUAUGCAGUUUUAGAACAAAGUUUUAUUAAUCUGAAAGAAUAUAUCGGCUGCUGGAGUUUCCAGUAUUCAACAGGUCAAAUCUUAGCUAAAGACCUGAAACGAGAUGGAUCCGUUUUUGCCAAUAAGAGAAUAGUGUGCUGACGUUCUGUGUUUAGCCAAGCAGCUAGCUAGCUAACCAAGAAGACUGGUCCCUCCGACGAGCAAUGGAUUCCAAACACAGAUUCAAACACAAGACCAGGGACAUGGUGAACAUGGUUAUUAUUUCAACUUUGGAUGAUGUCUCAAUACACCCAGCCACUACAAAGAUACAGGCGUCCUUACUAACUCAGUUGCCAGAGAGGAAGGAAACCGCUCAGGGAUUUCACCAUGAAGCCAAUGGUGACUUUAAAACAUUUACAGAGUUUAAUGGCUGUAAUGGAUGUAUCAACAACAUUGUAGUUACUCCACAAUGCUAACCUAAUUGGCAGAGUGAAAAGAAGGAAGCUUUUACCGAAUAAAAUAUUAAAAAACUCUCGUCCUGUUUGCAACAAGUCACUAAAGUAAUACUGCAAAAAUGUGGCAAAGCAAUUCACUUUUAGUCCAAAGUGUUAUAUUUGGGGCAAAUUCAAUACAAUACGUUACUGAGUAUCACGCUGUCACGAACCUCGCCGAAGAUGGUGCCUCUUCCUGUUCGGGCGGUGCUCGGCGGUCGUUGUCGCUGGCCUAUUAGCUGCCAUCGAUUCCCUUUCCGUUUGUUUUUGGUUAUUGGGUAAUUGGGUACACCUGUUUUGUAUUAGGGUUUGUUUGUAGGUUAUUUAAGGGCACUAGGCCUGCUGGGUAGUUGUGCGGGCUUGUUUCUUGUUACUCUGUGUUGGAUGGUGUUAUUUGUUUGUGUCUUAUUUCUCCGGACUAUUUUUGUCCUCUUGUUUGGACUGGCAACUUGUAUCCGCCCAGUGUAUUGGCGUGACCGUUUUUGUUGCGCUGGGGAAUAAAUUUGACAAACGACUGAA